GAAACGGUUGAACAUGUUUUGCUGCAUUGCAGGAAAUAUAGUAUUCAGAGAAAUGUGCUUUUCCAAACACUGAAGAAAGCAAAAUACAUUGACUUUUCGCUAUCAGGGCUGUUAGGGAAAACAUCAGGCAAUAUGUAUUGUGAGCUUAUUACGUUUCUUAGAGAAAUUGAUCAAUUUAAAAUAAUCUAGAGUUUUGGUUUUAUUUAUUUUGUUGUUUUUUGUUUGUUUUAUUUUGUUUAUUGUUUUCUGCAUAGUCUCUUGUCCAUACUCCAGUCCAGUUGGUGGCGGUAAUGCACCUAAAAUUUGGUUUGCCAACCGCCAAUAAACACUAAAGAAGAAGAAGAAGAAGAAGUUUGACUCUCUCGAAGGUUGG